rnacentral:rRNA from 1 species
CGUUGGUGAACCAGCGGAGGGAUCAUUACCGAGUUUACAACUCCCAAACCCAAUGUGAACGUUACCAAACUGUUGCCUCGGCGGGAUCUCUGCCCCGGGUGCGUCGCAGCCCCGGACCAAGGCGCCCGCCGGAGGACCAACCAAAACUCUUUUUGUAUACCCCCUCGCGGGUUUUUUUUAUAAUCUGAGCCUUCUCGGCGCCUCUCGUAGGCGUUUCGAAAAUGAAUCAAAACUUUCAACAACGGAUCUCUUGGUUCUGGCAUCGAUGAAGAACGCAGCGAAAUGCGAUAAGUAAUGUGAAUUGCAGAAUUCAGUGAAUCAUCGAAUCUUUGAACGCACAUUGCGCCCGCCAGUAUUCUGGCGGGCAUGCCUGUCCGAGCGUCAUUUCAACCCUCGAACCCCUCCGGGGGGUCGGCGUUGGGGAUCGGCCCUCCCUUAGCGGGUGGCCGUCUCCGAAAUACAGUGGCGGUCUCGCCGCAGCCUCUCCUGCGCAGUAGUUUGCACACUCGCAUCGGGAGCGCGGCGCGUCCACAGCCGUUAAACACCCAA